GGGCCGGUAGCUCAGUUGGUCAGAGCAGCGGACUCAUAAUCCGUUCGACGCAGGUUCGAGUCCUGCCCGGCCCA
rnacentral:tRNA from 1 species